AUUAUUAUUUUUUAAAAGACAGAGAGAGAGAGAGAGAGAGAGAAUUUUAAUAUUUAUUUAUUUUUUUUUAGUUCUCCGCGGACACAACAUCUUUGUAUGUGGUGCUGAGGAUCGAACCUGGGCCGCACGCAUGCCAGGCGAGCGCGCUACCGCUUGAGCCACACACAUCCCCAGCCCCCAGACAUUUAAACCCCUAAUUGCUUGGUAGCUUGGUUCUGAUUUUGCAUUGUGUCUCAAUCUAGAUUGUUCCUACCAUGAUUCUCUGGAAAAAGUAGUAGUCUCCCCUGACAGAUGCUAAUUUUCCAUUUUGGGAGGGCUGGACUACCUACAUAAUGAGGUUCUCAUGUAGAAACACGGAUGAUAUUAAACUAAACAAGCAUCUUACAGUGUAGUGACCAUAAGUGGCAAGUUGUUAAUGUUUGUGCAAGAUAUCAGUGUCCUUUGCCAUACUCCAUUGAGCAAUAGAGAAAGCUAAGACUUGUAAGUUCAUUAUUUUGAGUUAGAAUCAACAAUUAAAGUGCUUGUCUCUUUUAAUAUUGUUCACUUCCUGUUAUCUGUAUAGUGAAUAUAGAAUUUAAUUGCCAUAAUGAGGACAAUGCUCAAGUUCCUGUUGUAAACCAAGGAGAAAACUAAGAGAGUUAAAGAAUAUUUUUUUUAAGAAAUGAUAUUUUAUGAUUAUUUAAUAAAUUUCUUGUUCCUUAUUUUAUAGGUGAUAAAAACAGGGCAUAAUUAAGCAAAAUGACUUACUCUGGUUACAAAAUUACUUAGUAUCAGGGAUAGGACUAGAAUCUAGAAUCUAAAUUCCUUUUCCAGUCACUCUUAAAAAAGAUAUUCUAGCCAGGUGUGGUGGGACACACCUGUAAUCCUGC
rnacentral:lncRNA from 1 species